UGGCGGACGGGUGAUAACGCGUGGGUAACCUGCCUUAUACAGGGGAUAACAGUCAGAAAUGACUGCUAAUACCGCAUAAGCGCACAGAGCUGCAUGGCUCAGUGUGAAAAACUCCGGUGGUAUAAGAUGGACCCGCGUUGGAUUAGCUAGUUGGUGAGGUAACGGCCCACCAAGGCGACGAUCCAUAGCCGGCCUGAGAGGGUGAACGGCCACAUUGGGACUGAGACACGGCCCAGACUCCUACGGGAGGCAGCAGUGGGGAAUAUUGCACAAUGGGGGAAACCCUGAUGCAGCGACGCCGCGUGAAGGAAGAAGUAUCUCGGUAUGUAAACUUCUAUCAGCAGGGAAGAAAAUGACGGUACCUGACUAAGAAGCCCCGGCUAACUACGUGCCAACAGCCGCGGUAAUACGUAGGGGGCAAGCGUUAUCCGGAUUUACUGGGUGUAAAGGGAGCGUAGACGGAUGGACAAGUCUGAUGUGAAAGGCUGGGGCUCAACCCCGGGACUGCAUUGGAAACUGCCCAUCUUGAGUGCCGGAGAGGUAAGCGGAAUUCCUAGUGUAGCGGUGAAAUGCGUAGAUA
rnacentral:rRNA from 1 species